GCUGUCUGUGAUGUUCCCAAUUACCUUACCUACCUUGUUUGAGUAGUAACUUUGAAAACAAAUCAUGUCUGAGACAAGC